rnacentral:rRNA from 1 species
CGCGGGAGCGCAACUGACGCUGAAGCUCGAAAGUGCGGGUAUCGAACAGGAUUAGAUACCCUGGUAGUCCGCACGGUAAACGAUGGAUGCCCGCUUUUCGGUCAUUAGACCGUGAGGCCAAGUGAAAACAUUAAGCAUCCCACCUGGGGAGUACGCCGGCAACGGUGAAACUCAAAGGAAUUGACGGGGGCCCGCACAAGCGGAGGAACAUGUGGUUUAAUUCGAUGAUACGCGAGGAACCUUACCCGGGCUUGAAUUGCAGAUGAAGGAUCCAGAGAUGGUGACGCCCUUCGGGGCAUCUGUGAAGGUGCUGCAUGGUUGUCGUCAGCUCGUGCCGUGAGGUGUCGGCUCAAGUGCCAUAACGAGCGCAACCCCUCUCUUCAGUUGCCAUCAGGCUAUGCUGGGCACUCUGGAGACACUGCCACCGCAAGGUGUGAGGAAGGUGGGGAUGACGUCAAAUCAGCACGGCCCUUACGUCCGGGGCUACACACGUGUUACAAUGGGGGGUACAGAAAGCCGGCUGCCCGCAAGGUCAGUCCAAUCAAGAAAGCCCUCCUCAGUUCGGACUGGGGUCUGCAACCCGACCCCACGAAGCUGGAUU